CUUUAAUAAGAAGCAAAUUUUGCAUUUAGUUUCGACCUAAAAGUUUGAUGAUUUUCAUCCUUAUUUU
rnacentral:tRNA from 1 species